rnacentral:lncRNA from 1 species
CUAGACAGGUUUAUUAGUGUUCUGCUAUGCAUUGGUUGUUUUUAAAAAUUUUGUCUACUAAAAUUUACAUGACCCAUUCAUGACAUAUUUGGGUAACAAUUGAAUUGAAUAUUCAUUGGUGUGAAUGUAUGAAACCCUAAGUUGCAGUUCACUAGUAGAUGGUUGUCUUCUCAAUCUAAAAUUCGAAGUGUAACAAAUUGGGUUGUAGUUGAACAAUUAAGGGUAGUUAAGCUGCAAGGUUGAAAAUUGUUUGUCGGUGUAGUGAAGUACUUGAGGAAAAGCACAAGAUAAGUGUGGGAAAGUUUGAUAAUGCAUAAAAACAAUAUCUUCAUUUUCCACUUCU